AAGUUGGGUCCCGCCACGAAAACCUACGGGGUUACUGUAGCUUUCGCGGCGGGACC
rnacentral:sRNA from 1 species